UACAGAGGGGGCAAGCGUUGUUCGGAAUUAUUGGGCGUAAAGGGCGCGUAGGCGGCCUGUUAAGUCGAACGUGAAAUCCCCGGGCUCAACCCGGGAACUGCGUCCGAUACUGGCAGGCUUGAAUUCGGGAGAGGGAUGUGGAAUUCCAGGUGUAGCGGUGAAAUGCGUAGAUAUCUGGAGGAACACCGGUGGCGAAGGCGGCGAUCCUGGACCGAUAUUGACGCUGAUGCGCGAAGCCAGGGGAGCAAACGGGG
rnacentral:rRNA from 1 species